ensembl:lncRNA
AGCCCUAUAGCUAUUCAGGAACCAGAUUCUAACUUGGUGCGAAGCCAGUCUUGUGGUAGAGAGGAACAGGAAUGAAAGGAUGUGGAGGUGGUGAGGUUUCCUCUGAGGAAAAGCCCAGCAGUCCACCGCGAAGAAGGAUAUGUCUCAGAGGGGAGGGAACGCUUUUUUUUUUUCCCUCAGACUGAGCUCUCAUUGACCCCAGCUCCAAGCACAGCGUCCACCACGUGACUGGAUUCCUGCAGGCUCGUAGCGCUAGGAGAAUUCUAAUUGUGCAGAUCCCCAGAACAGCUGCAGCAUCCCGAGCCAGGAGCGCCAGACUCGUACUUCCGACCGGAUGCGGGGCUCAGCGCAGCUCUUAACACUCAGCCCUACGGGCCUGAGGCAGGGGCCUCCCCCACCACCACCCAACUUUUGCUCUCCAUCGGGGUCCCUUUCCUCCUAGAGACGCAGGGAGCAUGGUCUUUUCAGCUGCUACCGCCGCUCCUCCCUCUUGGGAUUCCUUUCAAUCCCACACUUGAUUUGGAGGAGGAGGAAUUCCCCAGCUUUCCCGCCCGCCCCCCACCCCUUGAUGCCCCUAACUGGCCUUCCAGGUAUUUAGUUGCUGCAGAUGUCAACUGGGAAUUAGGA